rnacentral:rRNA from 1 species
UACGUAGGGUGCAAGCGUUAAUCGGAAUUACUGGGCGUAAAGCGUGCGCAGGCGGCUAUGCAAGACAGAUGGUGAAAUCCCCGGGCUCAACCUGGGAACUGCAUUGUGACUGCAUGGCUAGAGUACGGUAGAGGGGGAUGGAAUUCCGCGUGUAGCAGUGAAAUGCGUAGAUAUGCGGAGGAACACCGAUGGCGAAGGCAAUCCCUGGACCUGUACUGACGC